UGGGGAAUAUUGCACAAUGGGCGAAAGCCUGAUGCAGCGACGCCGCGUGAGGGAUGACGGCCUUCGGGUUGUAAACCUCUUUCAGUAGGGACGAAGCGCAAGUGACGGUACCUGCAGAAGAAGCACCGGCUAACUACGUGCCAGCAGCCGCGGUAAUACGUAGGGUGCGAGCGUUGUCCGGAAUUACUGGGCGUAAAGAGCUCGUAGGCGGUUUGUCACGUCGUCUGUGAAAUCCUAGGGCUUAACCCUGGACGUGCAGGCGAUACGGGCUGACUUGAGUACUACAGGGGAGACUGGAAUUUCUGGUGUAGCGGUGGAAUGCACAGAUAGCAGGAAGAACACCGAUGGCGAAGGCAGGUCUCUGGGUAGUAACUGACGCUGAGGAGCGAAAGAAUGGGUAGCGAACAGG
rnacentral:rRNA from 1 species